rnacentral:rRNA from 1 species
AUUGAACGCUGGCGGCAUGCUUUACACAUGCAAGUCGAACGGUAACAGGUUAAGCUGACGAGUGGCGAACGGGUGAGUAAUGCAUCGGAACGUGCCCGAUCGUGGGGGAUAACGCAGCGAAAGCUGCGCUAAUACCGCAUACGAUCUGAGGAUGAAAGCGGGGGCCCGUAAGGCCUCGCGCGAUCGGAGCGGCCGAUGUCAGAUUAGGUAGUUGGUGGGGUAAAGGCUCACCAAGCCGACGAUCUGUAGCUGGUCUGAGAGGACGACCAGCCACACUGGGACUGAGACACGGCCCAGACUCCUACGGGAGGCAGCAGUGGGGAAUUUUGGACAAUGGGCGCAAGCCUGAUCCAGCAAUGCCGCGUGCAGGAAGAAGGCCUUCGGGUUGUAAACUGCUUUUGUACGGAGCGAAAAGGCUCUCUCUAAUACAGGGGGCUCAUGACGGUACCGUAAGAAUAAGCACCGGCUAACUACGUG